rnacentral:tRNA from 1 species
CGCGCAUGGUGGAUUCACAAUCCACUGCCUUGAUCCACUGGGCUACAUCCGCCCC